AGCAGCCGCGGUAAUUCCAGCUCCAAUAGCGUAUAUUAAAGUUGUUGCAGUUAAAAAGCUCGUAGUUGAAUUUCGGGAUUAGUACGUUGGUCGUGCCUUCGGUACGUACUGGUGUUACUGAUUCCUACCUUCUGACGAACCAUCAUGUCAUUAAUUUGGUGUGGUGGGGAAUCAGGACUGUUACUUUGAAAAAAUUAGAGUGUUUAAAGCAGGCUCGCGCUUGAAUACAUUAGCAUGGAAUAAUGAAAUAGGACGUUGACCCUAUUUUGUUGGUUUCUAGGAUUGACGUAAUGAUUAAUAGGGAUAGUUGGGGGCAUUAGUAUUCAAUUGUCAGAGGUGAAAUUCUUGGAUUUAUUGAAGACUAACUACUGCGAAAGCAUUUGCCAAGGAUGUUUUCAUUAAUCAAGAACGAAAGUUAGGGGAUCGAAGACGAUCAGAUACCGUCGUAGUCUUAACCAUAAACUAUGCCGACUAGGGAUCGGAUGAUGUUAUUUUAAUGACUCAUUCGGCGCCUUACGGG
rnacentral:rRNA from 1 species